rnacentral:lncRNA from 1 species
UGGGGACUCUAUGAGUGGGUACGCAUCCCAUUUGGACUCUCAAAUGCCCCUGCAGCGUUUCAGCGAAGCAUGGAGCAGAUGUUAGGGCCCCUCAGAGACGAAUGCUGCACUCCAUACCUUGAUGAUGUCCUUUGCUAUUCGAAAACAUUUGACGAGCAUGUUGAGGCUGUUUGUAAAGUCCUCCAGGCUCUUCAGAGACAUGGGGUAAAACUGAGACCUGAAAAAUGCGAACUUUUCAGACGAGAAGUCAGGUACGUGGGUCGCAUUGUUUCGGCUGAAGGUGUCAAAAUCGACCCACGUGACCUUGAAGCUGCGAAGACACUGGCAAGUAAGACACCUCAGACCGUUGGUGAUGUGAGGAAGUUGACUGGAUUUCUGGGUUACUACCGCUCAUACAUCCAAGAUUUUUCCCGGAUUGCAAAACCAAUUUAUGAGCUGCUUCAAACCAAGCCAGGGAGGGCCCAGUCUGGUACGCCUGGAAAAAGAAACAAAUGCCCACAGCUACCUUCCAAAGAGCCUAUUGACUGGUCCAUUGAGCAUCAGGGAGCCCUUGAACAACUGGUGACGCUUCUUACAAACCCACCUGUACUGGCAUAUCCAGACUUUAACCUCCCCUUCACUUUACAUACUGAUGCAUCAGACCAGGGCUUAGGAGCUGUCCUUUAUCACAGUCAGAAGGGCAAGUUGAGAGUUAUUGGAUACGGAUCGAGAACAUUGACGCCUGCUGAGCGUAAUUACCAUCUGCAUAGUGGAAAGCUUGAGUUUCUUGCAUUGAAAUGGGCUGUGUGUGACAAGUUCCGCGAUUACCUGUACUAUGCCCCGCACUUUACCAUUUACACUGACAACAACCCAUUAACCUACAUCAUGAGUACAGCAAAGCUAAACGCAGUGGGUCAUCGGUGGGUUGGGGAACUCUCAGAUUUCAGAUUUGAUGUGAAGUACAGACCUGGAAAGUCAAAUGUGGAUGCAGACACCCUAUCCCGUCUUCCCUUGGAUAUGGAGAAAUAUGGGGUGACUUGCACUGAGGAGUUUUCAGACGAGGCGGUUCGAGCGAUGUGGGAUGGGAGCCACGAAGAACAAGAGUGGAAGAACAGCAGCUGAACGGAUAUUUAAUGAUUUCAUACCCAGAUUUGGAUAUCCUGCAAAACUGCAUCACGACCAGGGUUGUGAAUUUGAGAAUGACCUGUUUCGGAAAUUACAACAUUUGUCUGGAGUUGGCCGUUCAAGGACAUCGCCCUACCACCCACAAGGCAACCCAGCAGAGCGGUUGAACCGCACCAUACUCCAGAUGUUGAGGACAUUAAC